rnacentral:rRNA from 1 species
UUAGUGGCGGACGGGUGAGUAACACGUGAGCAACCUGCCUAUCAGAGGGGGAUAACGAUUGGAAACGAUCGCUAAUACCGCAUGACAUAGCGGAACCGCAUGGUUCUGUUAUCAAAGAUUUUAUCGCUGAUAGAUGGGCUCGCGUCCGAUUAGAUAGUUGGUGGGGUAACGGCCUACCAAGUCGACGAUCGGUAGCCGGACUGAGAGGUCGAACGGCCACAUUGGGACUGAGACACGGCCCAGACUCCUACGGGAGGCAGCAGUGGGGGAUAUUGCACAAUGGGGGAAACCCUGAUGCAGCGACGCCGCGUGAGGGAAGACGGUCCCCUGGAUUGUAAACCUCUGUCUUCGGGGACGAAACGAGACGGUACCCGAGGAGGAAGCCACGGCUAACUACGUGCCAGCAGCCGCGGUAAUACGUAGGUGGCAAGCGUUGUCCGGAAUUACUGGGUGUAAAGGGAGCGUAGGCGGGCAGGCAAGUCAGGCGUGAAAUAUAUCGGCUCAACCGGUAACGGCGCUUGAAACUGCAGGUCUUGAGUGAAGUAGAGGUUGGCGGAAUUCCUAGUGUAGCGGUGAAAUGCGUAGAUAUUAGGAGGAACACCAGUGGCGAAGGCGGCCA